AUUGAACGCUGGCGGCAUGCCUUACACAUGCAAGUCGAACGGCAGCACGGGGCAACCUGGUGGCGAGUGGCGACCGGGUGAGUAAUGCAUCGGAACGUACCUUUCAGUGGGGGAUAACGUAGCGAAAGUUACGCUAAUACCGCAUAUUCUGUGAGCAGGAAAGCAGGGGAUCGCAAGACCUUGCGCUGAUUGAGCGGCCGAUGUCAGAUUAGCUAGUUGGUGAGGUAAAGGCUCACCAAGGCGACGAUCUGUAGCGGGUCUGAGAGGAUGAUCCGCCACACUGGAACUGAGACACGGGCCAGACGCCUACGGGAGGCAGCAGUGGGGAAUUUUGGACAAUGGGGGCAACCCUGAUCCAGCCAUGCCGCGUGAGUGAAGAAGGCCUUCGGGUUGUAAAGCUCUUUCGGCCGGGAAGAAAUCGCACGGGCUAAUACCCUGUGUGGAUGACGGUACCGGAAUAAGAAGCACCGGCUAACUACGUGCCAGCAGCCGCAGUAACAC
rnacentral:rRNA from 1 species